CUGACGUCGUAUCUCACUUUUUUUUCUAACUUAAUCAAUAAAAAUCUUAAUUAAAAAAAAUGCAGGCUAUAUCAAAAGAUAUUAAUUAUAAUUUAGCAAUGGAACAUGUUGCUAUAUAUAAUAGACAUUUACAUGAAAAGAAACUUAACAGAGCUCCCUUCUUUGACUCACACACUGGUAUGCCUCUCGAUAAAUGUCAAUUAUGGAUGAUGAAUUUUGAACGUAAUUCUGGAAAAAGGUAUGAUCAAAUUUAUUCUUACCCAGCACGUAAACUAAACAGACCUAAUAAAAUUCAUUUACAGAGCGAAUUAAAAUUCCAAGAAUUAGAUGGCAAUCGUAUUAAGGGUUUCGAAAUUAUCAAACAAGAUGAAAAUAAUUCUAUUACAAAUUUUGAAACAUAUACGAACAAUUCUCAAGCCAGUUUUGAUGCUGAUACUUUUAAUGUGAUUAAGAAAGGACUAGACAAAAUCGAAGCUGCAACGAGUAUUGAAUCGAUUAACAAUAUCCCAGAAAAUAGCAAAGACAUUAAAUCGAAUAAUAUCAACGACUCAGAUGAAAGUGAUGAUAAUAAAUGUGAUCCUGAUGUUGACUAUCCUUUUUCAAAUAAUUCUAGUUGCAAAAAAAGAUCAAAAAAACUAACUCGCAGUUGCUCUAAAAAAGUUGUAACCCAAAUAAACGAAAGUUUCAAUAAAGUGAUAACUAGAAAUGAUUUUUUAAACCACAUAUCACAACCGACUAUAUAUUCAGAAUCUAAUUCACAAAUUAAAACUGACAUUCAGCAUAAUCAAUUCGAUAAUAAAAUGGCCACUUUAAUUGAUCCCCAAUAUUAUAAUACCGUAUCAUCAAACAGUUAUCCCACUAAUUCUAUCGAAAAAAAUCAUGAACAACCUAUAGAUAUUAAAAAAUAUACUCAUUUAUCUGGGGAAGUUAUAGCACAAAAGGAUACUGAACUGAGCUUUAAAACAAACGAAAUCGUUUACGACAUUAAUAACCCUAACGAUGAACUUGUAUUGAGUAAGCCUCACGUUUGUGUGAUAUGUGGAAUUCGUUAUAAAUCGAAAGCAGGAUUGAAUUAUCAUUAUACUCAUUUGCAUCAUAUUAAUACAAAAAAAAAAGUCGCUUCUAAAAAAAAUGAAUCAAUUAAUAAAGCUACACCUGUUCAAAAUGAACCCUUACCAAAUGACCAUAAAAAUUUUAAUAAACAAGGUCACGAUUUAACAAUAAAUGACAUUAUUUCUAACAAUGCUCAGAUCCAACAUCUCAACCAACAUUUAUUUAAAACGGAUUCUGAAAGUGUUUCAAAGAAUAAAAUUAUAUUCGAUGAUGUUGAUAAUAAUUCAGUUUCAAUAUAUAACAAUAAUUUUAUUAAAAACCCUGAUGAUUUUUGCUAUUACCCUAAAGAUCUUCCCAACAAAUUAUCAAAUGUGGAAAAUAUUAUGGAAAACACACUUAUCAAAAAUACAAGCUUGAAUAUCACUAAUAAACAAAAUAUAAACGAUCAAACUGGUGAAGCUCUAAAAUCUAUAAUUCCAGAUAUUUCCCGAGGAAAAAAAUAUGAUUCAACUGGAAUAAAUACCGAUAACAUUUCGAAAAAACAUGAAAAUGACCCGGCACAAUAUAUCACUUCUUCAUUUAUUAAAGAAAAGGCAGUUUGCGAUUUUUGCUUAGGGGAUGUAAAAAUGAAUAAGAAAACUUUUCAGCCUGAGAAACUUAUAUCGUGUUCCGAUUGUGGAAGAUCAGGACAUCCUACAUGUCUUCAGUUCACUUCUAAUAUCAUCAUCUCUAUCACACGCUAUCCAUGGCAGUGCAUAGAAUGCAAAUCUUGUGGUCUCUGCGGCACUUCUGAUAAUGACGUGGCGUUUUUGAUCUGGCUAGGGUAUCCUGGUUUGAUAUAGUAUUAUUUAACGUUACAAUUAACCGAUCAUCAGUCAAAUUAAUAUAUGGCUAAUUCUACUUGAAAUUGGGUGAACUAUAGCAGAUAUGUCUAACAUCCAGAUAAUAAUUUAUAAAAUAUUAUCAUUUAAUAGUCUGAAGAUAAAAUGAGAUGCUAAUAAUUAUUAUUUAAUAUAAUUUUUAAUUUAUAAUAUAAUUUUAUAAUAUCUUAUGCAAUUGAAACAUCCAAUGUUUGAAAUGGGCCAGAAAAUAAACUUUCACAUAAACUCAACUAGCUCAAAAACUAUUUUAGAUACAGUUUUGAUUCAAAUUUUAUUUUAAAGUUUAAGAAUUGGGCUACUUAGUAUUAAAGUGUUUGAUAUAUUACCUCUAUAAAUAAUUUCUCAAGUUGAAACUACUAGUCUUGUUUGAUGAUAAAAGCUUUUGGCACAUCUUACAACGAAACCUAUACCCAGUGUUAAUUUCUCAAAAUAUUUUGCGAAUUUAGGAAUAGGAAAUUUCAAUUAUCAUCAUUUUCCAGGGAAAUUACUUUGUCAAUAUAUGUACCAAAAUUAUCUUCAAUGUCAAUCUCUAUUGUCGACAUUUAAAAUUUUAAUUAUUUUGAAAGUAAGAUUUAUAAUUCAUAUUUUUAAAUAUAAAUUUUAAAAUUAAAUAAAAUAAAAAGAUUAUGAUUUUAGAAUUAAUUUUAAAAAUAUAAAUAUAUUUUAAUAAUUUUUAUGUGUAUUUAUUAUAUAAAAUUGUAGCGCGCAUUCUAAAUUAGUAGCGAGCUACAAUUAUUUUAUGAAAAAUAUAGCUCGUUAAAGCUACCGCUAGAUGAAAAAAGUUGCGCUCUACUUUAGCAAAACUGGUAUUGUUGAUACACAUUUAAAUGAAUGAAGAAAUCGCUAUUUUAGGAUCAGUUAUUAUUUUGCGAUGAUUGUGAUAGAGGUUAUCAUAUGUAUUGUUUAACACCUCCUUUAUCGGAACCUCCUGAAGGUAAUUGGAGUUGUCAUUUAUGUAUUAAAGAAUAUGGCGAACAAGCGAGCAUU